UGCCAGACUCCUACGGGAGGCAGCAGUGAGGAAUAUUGGUCAAUGGCCGAGAGGCUGAACCAGCCAAGUCGCGUGAGGGAAGACGGCCCUACGGGUUGUAAACCUCUUUUGCCGGGGGACAAACGGCGGCACGCGUGCCGUCCUGAGAGUACCUGAAGAAAAAGCAUCGGCUAACUCCGUGCCAGCAGCCGCGGUAAUACGGAGGAUGCGAGCGUUAUCCGGAUUUAUUGGGUUUAAAGGGUGCGUAGGCGGAAUGCCAAGUCAGGGGUAAAAUCGCGGGGCUCAACCUCGCUCCGCCGUUGAAACUGGCGUUCUUGAGUGGGCGAGAAGUAUGCGGAAUGCGUGGUGUAGCGGUGAGAUGCAUAGAUAUCACGCAGAACUCCGAUUGCGAAGGCAGCAUACCGGCGCCCAACUGACGCUGAAGCACGAAAGCGUGGGUAUCGAACAGGAUUAGAUACCCCCGUAAG
rnacentral:rRNA from 1 species